rnacentral:rRNA from 1 species
CCUACGGGAGGCAGCAGUGAGGAAUAUUGGUCAAUGGCCGUAAGCCUGAACCAGCCAAGCAGCGUGAGGGAAGACGGCACAGUGUAUUGUAAACCUCUUUUGUGAGGGGACAAAGGCGUCGACUAGUGCACGGUUGCAGGUACCGCAAGAAAAAGAAUCGGCUAACUCCGUGCCAGCAGCCGCGGUAAUACGGAGGGUCCGGGCGUUAUCCGGAUUUAUUGGGUUUAAAGGGUGCGCAGGCCGGCCUUUAAGUGAGCCGUGAAAUAUUGUGGCUCAACCACGGGAGUGCGGUGGAAACUGGAGACCUGGAGUGCGAGAGAGGCAGGCGGAAUUCACGGUGUAGCGGUGAAAUGCUUAGAUAUCGCGCAGAACCCCGAUUGCGAAGGCAGCGUGCCGGCUCCAUACUGACGCUGAGGCACGAAAGCGUGGGUAUCGAACAGGAUUAGAUACCCUAGUAGUC